GGGAAACUGUUAGGGAACAGCAGCUGGGAUAAAAUAGUGAGAAUCAGCCCUGCAGACCCCCAGGCAGUAGAUUGCUGGCUGUGUGUUUAUUUCAAUAGGCCUGGGGACAAAUCUAUAAGGUUUCUGGUGCACUUGUACAACAUAAGAAACAUGCUGAGUAUCCUAACAUGUUGUACUUCAUUCAGAAAGGUCUCGAUAAUCUAGGAAUAUGAUGUGUUUUGCACCCAGUGGAAGUUUCCAUCAUUUUCAGUCCCUUAUCACAAAAAUCAAAAGCCAGGUGACUGAAGAACUCUUGGAAGAAAAGCUGUCAAAAUUCAGUGGCCUUCCAGUGACUGCAGUGGAUUCAACCAUCCACUGCAAUUCUUGUUCCUUUCAGAGAGGCCUUUGCUCCCUUCUCAGUGAUAAGCAACUUAAGCUUAUUGGAUUACUGAGUUGUUCUGUUUGUCUCCUGAUAUUUCAGGAAACAUACAACUGGACUUAAUUUUUCAGUGGAAGGAUGGGUGCUAAAAUUAAGGUAGAUGUUUCCCUCAGAAAUCAUUUUAAAACCUGUUGGUUUUCAGUCUUUUUUCACUCUGUUAGGACAGGACCAAGCAAAGUUCAUUCAUUCAGUGGUCAAGUGGCUAUAUUUUUCACCAGAUGAAUACAGGAAUAGAUGUGACUUUUGCAUUCCUACAGAAGAUCACUUUGAUCAUAUUCAUUCUUUGAGCUGCAUAUAUAUAUGUUUAGAAUUAAGGAAAAAUAUAAACCUCGCACAAAUAUGGGCUAAUAAAGAAAGAAAGAAAGAAACAAAAAUCAUUUCCUAUUUCUGCCAGUAAUUUUUUUAUACCUCCAAA